rnacentral:rRNA from 1 species
CCUACGGGAGGCAGCAAUUAGGAAUCAUGCGCAAUGGACGAAAGUCUGACGCUGCGACAUCGCGUGGAGGAUGACGGCCUUCGGGUUGUAAACUCCUUUUAUAGUUGAACAAGUUCUGAGUGUAAACUAUGAAUAAGGUGCUUCUAACUACGUGCCAGAAGAAUCGGUGAUACGUAGGCAUCGAGCGCUAUCCGGAAUUACUGGGCGUAAAGAGAUGCGUAGGCGUCCUAGCAAGUUUUCUGUUAAAUCAUACAGCUCAACUGUAUGACCGCGGAAGAAACUGCAAGGAUUGAGAAAUUCAGGGGAAAAGGGAAUUCCUGGUGGAGCGGUGAAAUGCGUUGAUAUCAGGAGGAACACCAAUGGCGAAGGCACUUUUCUGGGGAUUUUCUGACGCUAAGGCUCGAAAGCUAGGGUAGCAAAACGGAUUAGAUACCCUGGUA